rnacentral:rRNA from 1 species
UACGGAGGGUGCGAGCGUUGUCCGGAAUUACUGGGCGUAAAGGGCGCGUAGGCGGAAUGGCAAGUCGGUCGUGAAAUCCUUCGGCUCAACCGAAGAACGUCGAUCGAAACUGCCGUUCUUGAGGAUUGCAGAGGAGACUGGAAUUCCCGGUGUAGCGGUGAAAUGUGUAGAGAUCGGGAGGAACACCGGUGGCGAAGGCGGGUCUCUGGGCAAUUCCUGACGCUGAGGCGCGAAAGCGUGGGGAGCAAACGGG